GAUGAAGAACGCAGUGAAAUGCGAUAAGUAGUGUGAAUUGCAGAAUUUAGUGAAUCAUCGAAUCUUUGAACGCACAUUGUGCCCUAUAGUAUUCUGUAGGGCAUGCCUGUUCGAGCGUUAUUGAGACCUCAAGCUCUGCUUGGAAAUGGGCGCUUGUCUUGCCUUGCAGACUCGCCUUAAAACCAUUGGCAGCUGAUUUACAAUGUUUGGUGCACAGUACAUGAGCCCAAGUGUUGCAAUGAGUGGCCCAAAAGUAUACAAUAGAAGCUUAACCUCGGAUCAGGUAGGGAUACCCGCUGAACUUAAGCAUAUCAAUAAGCGGAGGA
rnacentral:misc_RNA from 1 species